AUCGUCAAUCAGCAUCAUAAACAGGCAGAAAUUUCAUUGCCCUUUGGCUUCAUUCUCUUGGAGAAUCUGACACUCCAAAUUGCCUCAUAUCUAUUUUCUAUGGUAUUUGAGUGAAUGGCAUCAUCCGUUUUCUCCAGGACUCUAUUGGGUCACCGCUUGAUUCACUCCUCGCUCUCCUUCUCACACAAAACCCAAUUUUUUACUCUCUUUAAUAAGAGACCAUUUCACAUGCGAGCUGGUCCUUCCCAUACAUCAUAUAAGACGUCUGAUUGUGUUCCUCGAGUCAUUGCUUCCUCUAUGGUUGGUUCAAAAGCUAAUUUUUCUACACGAUCUUUAUCUACCAAUGAACCUGUUGUAUCGGUUGAUUGGCUCCAUGCAAAUCUCAGGGAGCCUGAUAUGAAGGUGUUGGAUGCAUCCUGGUACAUGCCAGAUGAACAGAGGAAUCCAAUUCAAGAGUAUCAGGUU
rnacentral:misc_RNA from 1 species